AAAAAAAAGUUGUCAAGACUGCUACUUUUUUAAGAAACUUUUUCAUCUGGGACUUCUUGAACAAUACUGGCAACAUCCAGAUCGUUGGGGUCAAAUCCUUCUCUCAGUUGCAUGCUGUGCCACUGGAAAUUGGGAAUGUUUAUACACUUACAAGACUGACUUUAACCUCCAAGCUACAUAUUCAGACCACCAGAUACUUCUCAAUCCCUCCAAAGUGUUCAUCAUUUCAACUUUUGUUGAUCUGUGUAAUGGAUAUAGUCAUGCUUACCUGCUGCAGUUCCCAUGGAGGUUUUGAGACCUAGUUAAUACUUGUAAAGUGUGCUUUGAGAGUCUUAACCAUGCCAGAGGACAACAUCUUCAAGCUAGCCACGGCAGGACGCCUGGGAACAUCUUAACGUGUAUAUCCACUCCAGAAUAAAUCAGUCAAGGGGCUGGAAUUUCAACCUGGAGACGGCUUUUCCAGUGGCUUGCAGAAGACAAAAAGAAACCACAGCUAAGUGCAGUAGCUAGGCUGCUGGCAAGUGCACCCAUUUCUUUUCUUUGUAUUUUUUGAUUUGGAAUAAAUGUAUGACUUAACUCAGUGCAAAUGUUGAA